GACGAACGCUGGCGGCGUGCUUAACACAUGCAAGUCGAACGGAAAGGCCCUGCUUUUGUGGGGUGCUCGAUUGGCGAACGGGUGAGUAACACGUGAUUAACCUGCCCUUGACUUUGGGAUAACUUCAGGAAACUGGGGCUAAUACCGGAUAGGAGCUCCUGCUGCAUGGUGGGGGUUGGAAAGUUUCGGCGGUUGGGGAUGGACUCGCGGCUUAUCAGCUUGUUGGUGGGGUAGUGGCUUACCAAGGCUUUGACGGGUAGCCGGCCUGAGAGGGUGACCGGCCACAUUGGGACUGAGAUACGGCCCAGACUCCUACGGGAGGCAGCAGUGGGGAAUAUUGCACAAUGGGCGGAAGCCUGAUGCAGCAACGCCGCGUGCGGGAUGACGGCCUUCGGGUUGUAAACCGCUUUCGCCUGUGACGAAGCGUGAGUGACGGUAAUGGGUAAAGAAGCACCGGCUAACUACGUG
rnacentral:rRNA from 1 species